ensembl:lncRNA
CGGGUCUCUCCUGGGUUACGUCACGUUAGGAGGCAGAGCCGUGAAGUCCUGUGUACCUGAGAGCUCAGAAAAAGAGAGAAGAAAAUGUUUAGAUGGGUGGAGUGGGGAGUGCCGCGCGCCGAGGCUGGCAGUCCCCACGCAGUAUGGCAGGCGGCAAGUGGUUUCCCGAUAAACCGAAAAACACAACUUCUUCAAGAAUUUCUUUGAGAGUGUAACCCCACACUUGGGAGACUAAAGCAGGAAACAGCAAGUUCAAGGGGAGGCCCUGUCCCGAAAACAGUAACAAUUAAAGCUGAAAAUGUAGCUGGCAUGUGAAAGGCCCAAGACAGGUAUGGUCCGCAUAGACUCCUGUUUGCAUGCUUAGCCAUAGGGAAUGGCACUAUUAGGAGGUGUGGCCUUGUUAAGGGAAGUGUGUCACUGUGGAGGCAGGCCUUGAGGUUUCCUGUGAUCACACUGCACCCCCUGUGGCCACAGUCUCUCGCUGCCUGUGGAUCAAGAGGCAGUACCCUCAGCUCCUCCAGCCCCAUGCCUGCCUGCAUGCUGCCAUGCUUCUCACCAUGAUGACAAUGGACCGAACCUCUGAACUGGUGUUAUACAGUAUAUGCUGGUCUUGAAUUCACCAUGUAACUGAGGAUGACCCUAAACUUCUCAUCUUUCUGCGUUUACCUCCUCCGAAGUGCUGGAAUUACAAGCAUGUGCCACCAGGAUCAGUUUAUGCCAGUGCAAUGGAUUAAAUCCAGGACCCUGUGUUUCCUCUACUGAGCUAUACCCACAGCCAUGCAUUUUCAGUCAGGAAAAAAAAACAAAACAAAAACAGAAUUCCAGAAAUGAUGCAGGUGUUUGAGAAUGAUGGCGCCCUCCACUGGCCAACUUCAUGACCCAGUGACCUGAUUUGCUGGGCACUUACAGUCACAAGAGAUCAACCUGGGACAGUGCUCUAAGCUCACUGUCUAAUGCCAAUGAAGAUUACUGGUGUCGUGUCAUGUGGAGGUAGAAGCAGGCUUUAUUAAGAAUUAUUGCAUAAGGUUGGAGUGGUGGCUCAGCAAGAAUUAUACAUAGGAUUAGAGUAGUGGCUCAGAGGUUAAAAACAUUGGCUGCCCUUCCAGAGGUCCUGAGUUCAAUUCUCAGAAAUCACAUGGUGGCUCAGAACCAUCUAUAAUGAGAUCUGAUGCCCUCUUCUGGUGUAUCUGAAGACAGCUACAGUGUACAAACAUAAAUUAAAAUAAAUAAAUCUUUAAAGAUGAGCAUUUGCUUGCAUGGUAACGUUCACGUACAAAUAAAU